UUUAAUCUCAACCCGACGGUGUA
rnacentral:siRNA from 1 species